rnacentral:rRNA from 1 species
CACUAUGCUUAGCCCUAAACACAAAUAAUUAUAUCAACAAAAUUAUUCGCCAGAGUACUACCGGCAAUAGCCUAAAACUCAAAGGACUUGGCGGUGCUUUAUACCCUUCUAGAGGAGCCUGUUCUAUAAUCGAUAAACCCCGAUAAACCUUACCACCCCUUGCUAAUUCAGUCUAUAUACCGCCAUCUUCAGCAAACCCUAAAAAGGAAUAAAAGUAAGCUUAAUCAUAUUACAUAAAAACGUUAGGUCAAGGUGUAACCUAUGGGGUGGAAAGAAAUGGGCUACAUUUUCUAACUUAAGAAAAUCUAUCACGAAAAUUAUUAUGAAAAUUAAUAAUUAAAGGAGGAUUUAGCAGUAAACUAAGAAUAGAGUGCUUAGUUGAAUUAGGCCAUGAAGCACGC